rnacentral:rRNA from 1 species
UUUGAUGGCGACCGGCGCACGGGUGAGUAACACGUAUCCAACCUGCCGAUGACUCGGGGAUAGCCUUUCGAAAGAAAGAUUAAUACCCGAUGGCAUAAUGAUUCCGCAUGGUUUCAUUAUUAAAGGAUUCCGGUAAAGGAUGGGGAUGCGUUCCAUUAGGUUGUUGGUGAGGUAACGGCCCACCAAGCCUUCGAUGGAUAGGGGUUCUGAGAGGAAGGUCCCCCACAUUGGAACUGAGACAUGGUCCAAACUCCUACGGGAGGCAGCAUG